rnacentral:tRNA from 1 species
GGGGUUGUGGCUCAGUGAUAGAGCUCUUGCCUAUCACGUGUGAGGCCCUGGGUUCGAUUCUCAGCACCA